CCUACUCCUAGGGGCAUUGCAGGUGUGGCUGGUGUGUCACACGUGCAUCAGGAGGUGGCAGAGAGGAGAGAGCCUAUGUCUACUCUCAGUGUUGUGACCUGUGACCAUCUGAAUGAUUAGUAGCCAGCCUAG